rnacentral:rRNA from 1 species
AUGGCAGUAGUAAUGCUUCCGAGGCUUGUUGCCGUGGCAGCGCUGGUCGUGCUGAUGUAUGCCGUCGCUGUUGGCCAGGUACCUGCCGCCGGCGGUGCGCCGGUGUGCGAUGGUAUUGAUCAGAACGUCGUGAAUGCAUGUUUCAAGAGCUUCGGAGAAGGUAUGAAAAUUGCUAUUGCCGACAGAAAUAUUUCGGCGGGUAAUGUCAUUAAGGUUCAAGUGGACUGCUGCAUAGCCUUUGGAGGCCACUCGUGCCUCUGCAAGAUGAAGAAGGUGUGGAAGGCUCAGGGCAAAAGUGCCCAGGACAAUGUACAAUGCGUCAGGGAAAAGGCCUGCUAG